GACGAACGCUGGCGGCGUGCCUAACACAUGCAAGUCGAGCGGGGUUAUGGAGUAGCUUGCUACGAAGUAACUUAGCGGCGGACGGGUGAGUAACGCGUGAGCAAUCUGCCUUGAACAGGGGGAUAACAGUCGGAAACGACUGCUAAUACCGCAUAAGACCACAGCACAGCAUGGUGCGGGGGUCAAAGGAGUAACAUCCGGUACAAGAUGAGCUCGCGUCCCAUUAGCUAGUUGGUAGGGUAAAGGCCUACCAAGGCGACGAUGGGUAGCCGGCCUGAGAGGGUGACCGGCCACACUGGAACUGAGACACGGUCCAGACUCCUACGGGGGGCAGCAGUGGGGAAUCUUCCACAAUGGGCGAAAGCCUGAUGGAGCGACGCCGCGUGAGCGAAGAAGGCCUCGGGUUGUAAGCUCUGUCUGGAGGGACGGAAGGAAGUGACGGUACCGUCCGGAGGAAGCCACGGCUAACUACGUG
rnacentral:rRNA from 1 species